rnacentral:snRNA from 1 species
AGCUUUGCGCAGUGGCAGUAUCGUAGCUAAUGAGGUUAAUCCGAGGCGCGAUUAUUGCUAGUUGAAAACUUUUCCCAAUACCCCGCCGUGGUAGCUUGCAAUAUAGUUGCCACCGGCAAUUUUUGAGGGCCUCUUCGGAGG